rnacentral:rRNA from 1 species
GACGAACGCUGGCGGUGUGCUUCACACAUGCAAGUCGAGCGAAUGAAGAAGGUAGCUUGCUACUUUUGGAUUUAGCGGCGGACGGGUGAGUAAUAUAUAGGAAUCUGCCCUAGAGCGGGGAACAACAGACCGAAAGGUUUGCUAAUGCCCCAUAGGUACGCAGUCUUCGGAUUGUUUAUUAAAGGAGUAAUCCACUCUAGGAUGAGCCUGUAUCCGAUUAGCUAGUUGGCGGGGUAAAGGCCCACCAAGGCUACGAUCGGUAGUUGGUCUGAGAGGAUGAUCAGCCACAAUGGGACUGAGACACGGCCCAUACUCCUACGGGAGGCAGCAGUGGGGAAUUUUACACAAUGGGGGAAACCCUGAUGUAGCGACACCGCGUGAACGAAGAAGCCUUUUGGGGUGUAAAGUUCUGUCGGCUGGAACGAAAAAAAUGACGGUACCAGCAAAGG